rnacentral:rRNA from 1 species
GUGGGGAAUAUUGGACAAUGGGCGCAAGCCUGAUCCAGCCAUGCCGCGUGUGUGAAGAAGGCCUUCGGGUUGUAAAGCACUUUUGUCCGGGAAGAAAUCUUCCAGGUUAAUACCCUGGGAGGCUGACGGUACCGGAAGAAUAAGCACCGGCUAACUUCGUGCCAGCAGCCGCGGUAAUACGAAGGGUGCAAGCGUUACUCGGAAUUACUGGGCGUAAAGCGUGCGUAGGUGGUUCGUUAAGUCUGCCGUGAAAGCCCCGGGCUCAACCUGGGAAUGGCGGUGGAUACUGGCGGGCUAGAGUGCGGUAGAGGGAGGUGGAAUUCCCGGUGUAGCAGUGAAAUGCGUAGAGAUCGGGAGGAACAUCUGUGGCGAAGGUGGCCACCUGGACCAGCACUGACACUGAGGCACGAAAGCGUGGGGAGCAAACAGGAUUAGAUACCCGAGUAGUCC